rnacentral:rRNA from 1 species
UACGUAGGGUGCGAGCGUUGUCCGGAAUUAUUGGGCGUAAAGAGCUCGUAGGCGGUUUGUUGCGUCGGCCGUGAAAACCUGCAGCUUAACUGUGGGCCUGCGGCCGAUACGGGCAGACUUGAGUUCGGUAGGGGAGACUGGAAUUCCUGGUGUAGCGGUGAAAUGCGCAGAUAUCAAGCGGAACACCAGUGGCGAAGGCGAGUCCCUGGACAACUCCUGACACUGAGGCACGAAAGCUAGGGGAGCAAACAGG